rnacentral:rRNA from 1 species
GACGAACGCUGGCGGCGUGCCUAAUACAUGCAAGUCGAACGAGAGCGACCGGUGCUUGCACUGGUCAAUCUAGUGGCGAACGGGUGAGUAACACGUGGGUAACCUGCUCAUCAGAGGGGGAUAACAUCCGGAAACGGAUGCUAAAACCGCAUAGGUCUUCGAGCCGCAUGGCUUGAAGAGGAAAAGAGGCGCAAGCUUCUGCUGAUGGAUGGACCCGCGGUGCAUUAGCUAGUUGGUGAGGUAACGGCUCACCAAGGCCGUGAUGCAUAGCCGACCUGAGAGGGUGAUCGGCCACAUUGGGACUGAGACACGGCCCAAACUCCUACGGGAGGCAGCAGUAGGGAAUCUUCCGCAAAGGACGCAAGUCUGACGGAGCAACGCCGCGUGAGUGAAGAAGGUUUUCGGAUCGUAAAACUCUGUUGUUAGAGAAGAACAAGUGCUAGAGUAACUGUUAGCGCCUUGACGGUAUCUAACCAGAAAGCCACGGCUAACUACGUG